GGAGGGUCAUUGGAAACUGGAGAACUUGAGCGCCUAAAAGGAGAGUGGAUUUCCUUGUGUAGCGGUGAAAUGCGUAAAGAUGUGGAGGACCACCUGUGGCGAAGGCUCCCCUCUGGGCUGUAAUUGACGCUGAGGCGCGAAAGGGUGGGGAGCAAACAGGAUUAGAUACCCUGGUAGUCCACGCCGUAAACAAUGAUUGCUAAUUGUAGGAGGUUUCCCGCCU
rnacentral:rRNA from 1 species